UCAGCUGGCAUGAUGGCGCUGUCACAAUUAAUCUGCUAUUACCACCUUCUUGGUCUGAGACACUGGGAAAUACUGAUAUUUCUUAAAAAUGAGGAUGAUAUUAAUAUUAGUAUGUCAACACUGCGCAGGCAUCUCAAGUCGUUGGGAUUGUUCCGGCGGAAAGCCCAGUCUGACGUGCUGGACAUCGCUCUCUUUCUGCAGGAGCAGUUGAACCAAUACGGUAUGCUUCAUGGAUACAAAUUCAUGCAUUUGAAAUGCAUCCAAGAUGGUUUGGUAGUGACUCAGAGAACUGUGCGGCACCUGCUUAAAAUCCUAGAUCCUCAGGGAGUAGAGCUGAGGUAACGGAACCGAAGCAGUGGUCAGUGUG